rnacentral:misc_RNA from 1 species
GAUGAAGAACGUAGCGAAAUGCGAUAAUUAAUGUGAAUUGCAGAAUUUAGUGAAUCAUCGAAUCUUUGAACGCACAUUGCGCCCCUUGGUAUUCCAUGGGGCAUGCCUGUUCGAGCGUCAUUUGUACCUUCAAGCUUUGCUUGGUGUUGGGUGUUUGUCUCGCCUUUGCGUGUAGACUCGCCUUAAAUUAAUUGGCAGCCGGCGUAUUGAUUUCGGAGCGCAGUACAUCUCGCGCUUUGCACUCAUAACGACAGCGUCCAAAAGUACAUUUUACACUCUUGACCUCGGAUCAGGUAGGGAUACCCGCUGAACUUAAGCAUAUCAAUAAGCGGAGGA